AGCAUGUCACGCAUUUUCUAUUGAGUUUUAGAACGUUUUGAACACCAGACAACGAGACUCGUGGCAGCCAUAUUGGCGUGACCUCAUUAGUUAUUCACUUUCAAGUUUAGACAAUAUUUCUUCUUUCCCACCAAUAAGAACGUGUUAGAACCUCUUCUAACACGUCGCACAAAAGGCGCCAUUGACUUCAUUAGUGCAUAGCGGAUGCAGUAUCCAGUCUAGCCUGCGUGUCAGGCUAUGCUUG